rnacentral:rRNA from 1 species
GUAAGGAAUAUUGGUCAAUGGACGAAAGUCUGAACCAGCCAUGCCGCGUGAAGGAUGAAGGCCCUCUGGGUUGUAAACUUCUUUUAUCUGGGACGAAAAAAGGGUAUUCUUACUCACUUGACGGUACCAGAGGAAUAAGCACCGGCUAACUCCGUGCCAGCAGCCGCGGUAAUACGGAGGGUGCAAGCGUUAUCCGGAUUCACUGGGUUUAAAGGGUGCGUAGGUGGGUAUUUAAGUCAGUGGUGAAAUCUCCGAGCUUAACUCAGAAACUGCCAUUGAUACUAUUUACCUUGAAUGCCCUGGAGGUAAGCGGAAUAUGUCAUGUAGCGGUGAAAUGCUUAGAUAUGACAUAGAACACCAAUUGCGAAGGCAGCUUACUACGGGGUGAUUGACACUGAGGCACGAAAGCGUGGGGAGCAAACAGGAUUAGAAACCCGGGUAGUCC